AGAAACUGUACAAAGCCGGUGGAAACAUCAGGAAGUUUAAGGGAGAAUCUCUGGGAACGUGGACUCAAUAUCGGAAACAUCAAUCCAUUAUGUAUCGGUUGUGCAGUUAUUUUUGCAGUUGUAACAUUUCCAGAACUUUUUAUAUAAUUCUAACCAUUCUACCAACAUAUCUUUGUAUUAGGAUUUCAAAGUAUAAUGGAAUUUCGUAUUUGUGGAGCACUUCAUUUCCUCUCUAAAUUCUCAAAGUAGUCUGCUUUACAUGCCAAACUUGAACUUUUUCUGUUGGUAAUUUCUAAAUUCCCAUUGAAGUGGACUAUGCAUCCAAGAUGUUUGAUGAUAUGCAAAACUUGAACUUCUUCUGUUGGUAAUUUCUUGGGUGUUAGUUUUCGAUUGUUUUGAAUAAUUUCUUGAGUGAUCGUACCUAAUUGCAAGGUAUCAAAAUUGCUGCUGUAAGAUUAGGUCUCUUAAUUUGUGCUCUAUUGUUAUUUGUUCCUGUAAGAAUGACUUUAUCAGUAGAUCCAGUUCCAAAAAGGAAGAGAGGGACAAGGAAAGAUGAGGAUGGAUGAUCCGCACAACUGCUUGUGUGACAAUCUCUUCUAUUCAGAAGAGAAAGCGGAAGAUGAACGAAGAUGCACCUAUUUUUUCAAGUAAAAACUAAAAAAAAUAGAGAACUGGACUUCGACGCUGCCAUAACGGAUGCUUUUCCAUGAAGAAGUAAACUAAAGGAAAUAAGAUUUGAAUCAAAUGUGAUAUGUGAAUAUAUUGAUAGGAAGCUGAGUUUUAGUGGCUGUCAGGUAUGUGGAAUUAAUUGUCAAUAUCCACUUUGUGGGUUCUUACGCAUUUACUUUUGUAGUUGAUUUCCUUCCAUAGUUGUUUUUUUAUUUCUUAUGCUGGACCUUUUAGAAUUUGUUUUUGUACUAUUACGGCUUUGCAGCUAUAAGAUGGAAAUAUUAUAUACUUUCACAAAUCUCUUUGAAAGCAAGGCAAUAAACAAUAUCGCUUUCCAGAGGUUCCCUCAAUUUUGGAGUACUUCCACAAGAAUCAUCAAGUUUGUGAUGCGUCCUCUUAUUGUGAUAUUAGUCCCCAGAGUAUUAAAUACUGUAUUUAUUUGAAGAAAGGGUUCCUAACGAAACAGUAGCAAUUACGUAUAUCAUAGAAAAUGUUAGUCUGAAAGAAUAUCACAAUAAGAAUAUAAAAUCUGCAAUA